rnacentral:rRNA from 1 species
GAUGAACGCUAGCUAUAGGCUUAACACAUGCAAGUCGAGGGGAAACGAUAUUGGAAGCUUGCUUCCGAUAGGCGUCGACCGGCGCACGGGUGAGUAACGCGUAUCCAACCUGCCCACCACUUGGGAAUAACCUUGCGAAAGUAAGACUAAUACCCAAUGAUAUCUCUAGAAGACAUCUGAAGGAGAUUAAAGAUUUAUCGGUGAUGGAUGGGGAUGCGUCUGAUUAGCUUGUUGGCGGGGUAACGGCCCACCAAGGCGACGAUCAGUAGGGGUUCUGAGAGGAAGGUCCCCCACAUUGGAACUGAGACACGGUCCAAACUCCUACGGGAGGCAGCAGUGAGGAAUAUUGGUCAAUGGGCGGAAGCCUGAACCAGCCAAGUAGCGUGCAGGAUGACGGCCCUAUGGGUCGUAAACUGCUUUUAUACAGGAAUAAAGUUAGCCACGUGUGGUUAUUUGUAGGUACUGUAUGAAUAAGGACCGGCUAAUUCCGUGCCAGCAGCCGCCGUAA